rnacentral:rRNA from 1 species
AGAUGGCGACCGGCGCACGGGUGAGUAACACGUAUCCAACCUGCCGAUAACUCGGGGAUAGCCUUUCGAAAGAAAGAUUAAUACCCGAUGGCAUAGUUCUUCCGCAUGGUAGAACUAUUAAAGAAUUUCGGUCAUCGAUGGGGAUGCGUUCCAUUAGGUUGUUGGCGGGGUAACGGCCCACCAAGCCUUCGAUGGAUAGGGGUUCUGAGAGGAAGGUCCCCCACAUUGGAACUGAGACACGGUCCAA